rnacentral:rRNA from 1 species
GCCAGCAGCCAUAUCACUCUGCAACUCACAACUGACAGCCCACUGAAGAUGUGAGCCUGGUCAGUACCUGGAUGGGAGACCUCCUGGGAAAAACUAAGGUUGCUGCUGGAA